AAAGAUUAAGCCAUGCAUGUCUAAGUAUAAGCAAUUAUACGGCGAAACUGCGAAUGGCUCAUUAUAUAAGUUAUCGUUUAUUUGAUAGCACUUUACUACUUGGAUAACCGUGGUAAUUCUAGAGCUAAUACAUGCUAAAAAUCCCGACUUCGGAAGGGAUGUAUUUAUUAGAUUAAAAGCCAAUGCCCUCUGGGCUCUCUGGUGAAUCAUGAUAACUGCUCGAAUCGCAGGGCCUCGUGCCGGCGAUGGUUCAUUCAAAUUUCUUCCCUAUCAACUUUCGAUGUUUGGGUAUUGGCCAAACAUGGUUACAACGGGUAACGGAGGGUUAGGGCUCGACCCCGGAGAAGGAGCCUGAGAAACGGCUACUACAUCCAAGGAAGGCAGCAGGCGCGCAAAUUACCCAAUCCCGACACGGGGAGGUAGUGACAAUAAAUACUGAUACAGGGCUCUUUCGGGUCUUGUAAUUGGAAUGAGUACAAUUUAAAUCCCUUAACAAGGAACAAUUGGAGGGCAAGUCUGGUGCCAGCAGCCGCGGUAAUUCCAGCUCCAAUAGCGUAUAUUAAAGUUGUUGUGGUUAAAAAGCUCGUAGUUGACCCUUGGGCCUGGCUGGCCGGUCCGCCUCACCGCGUGUACUGGUCCGGCCGGGCCUUUCCCUCUGUGGAACCCCAUGCCCUUCACUGGGCGUGGCGGGGAAACAGGACUUUUACUUUGAAAAAAUUAGAGUGCUCCAGGCAGGCCUAUGCUCGAAUACAUUAGCAUGGAAUAAUAGAAUAGGACGUGCGGUUCUAUUUUGUUGGUUUCUAGGACCGCCGUAAUGAUUAAUAGGGACAGUCGGGGGCAUCAGUAUUCAAUUGUCAGAGGUGAAAUUCUUGGAUCUAUUGAAGACUAACUACUGCGAAAGCAUUUGCCAAGGAUGUUUUCAUUAAUCAAGAACGAAAGUUAGGGGAUCGAAGACGAUCAGAUACCGUCGUAGUCCUGACCGUAAACUAUGCCGACUAGGGAUCGGACGAUGUUAUUUUUUGACUCGUUCGGCACCUUACGAGAAAUCAAAGUGCUUGGGCUCCAGGGGGAGUAUGGUCGCAAGGCUGAAACUUAAAGAAAUUGACGGAAGGGCACCACCAGGGGUGGAACCUGCGGCUUAAUUUGACUCAACACGGGGAAACUCACCAGGUCGACUUCGUCUGGGCCUGGAAAAGUCGGGCGCCGGCCACAACGGGCAGGCGCUGCGGCUAGUAUCGAACUUCACUCCGCGUGGGGAAGCCCCCUCGUCGGGCGCGGAGGCGGCAGCCGUCGAGGUCGCCGUUGUUCGAUGCGACACCAGCUGGUACAGGGGACGCCAAACCGCUCAGCAGGCCGCUGAGCGGUAGGCCAAUCCUGUGGCGAGCUCGGGUUGCGCCGAGCCGCUGCAACGCGCGCUAAGCGGUGGGCUGGGGGAGCGUUCAGGCUCUCCUGGCUUAAGGUACGUGCUAAUCCCGCAGGGAACUGCGGCCCCUCCGAACAGGUCCGACUUCACCGAAGCGGAGGGGGCGGUGCGUCGAGCGAAAGCCCGGCGUGCCGUGCUGUGAUGAUGCCAGACACAAUGAGGAUUGACAGAUUGAGAGCUCUUUCUUGAUUUUGUGGGUGGUGGUGCAUGGCCGUUCUUAGUUGGUGGAGUGAUUUGUCUGCUUAAUUGCGAUAACGAACGAGACCUUAACCUGCUAAAUAGCCCGUAUUGCUUUGGCAGUACGCCGGCUUCUUAGAGGGACUAUCGGCUCAAGCCGAUGGAAGUUUGAGGCAAUAACAGGUCUGUGAUGCCCUUAGAUGUCCUGGGCCGCACGCGCGUUACACUGACGGAGCCAGCGAGUACUCCCUUGGCCGGAAGGCCCGGGUAAUCUUGUUAAACUCCGUCGUGCUGGGGAUAGAGCAUUGCAAUUAUUGC
rnacentral:rRNA from 1 species